rnacentral:rRNA from 1 species
GACGAACGCUGGCGGCGUGCUUAACACAUGCAAGUCGAACGGAAAGGCCCUGCUUGCAGGGUAUUCGAGUGGCGAACGGGUGAGUAACACGGGGGUGAUCUGCCCUGUACUUCUGGAUAAGCCUGGGAAACUGGGUCUAAUACCGGAUAGGAGCCAUUUUUAGUGUGAUGGUUGGAAAGAUCUUUCGGUGUAGGAUGAGCUCGCGGCCUAUCAGCUUGUUGGUGGGGUAAUGGCCUACCAAGGCGGCGACGGGUAGCCGGCCUGAGGGGCUGGACGGCCACCUUGGGUCUGAGAGACGGCCCAGGCGCCUACGGGAGGCAGCAGUGGGGAAUCUUGCACCAUGGGCGCCAGCCUGAUGCAGCGACGCCGCGGGGGGGAUGACGCCCUUCUGGUUGUAAACUCCUUUCGCUAUGGACCAAGCUUUUUGUGACGGUACCUAGAUAAGAAGCACCGGCUAACUACGUG